CUAACUCCCCACAUAGCAUAGCUGUGAAGUGGAUCCAGUGGCCCUGAGGGACCAACACAAUGUAAGGAGCUGGACCUUGUGCACUCUUGCUCCUCUCUUGCUGCCUCCUUAUCUAACUUCUGCUCAGUCACCUCUGCAUUCUACCUGUAGAAAAGUGACUCAACAUCAUUCCAGAAGUCCGGAAUUCUACAAGAAUCAUCUCAAGUGCACUACAAAACCAGAACAACU
rnacentral:lncRNA from 1 species